CAGCGAUGAGUGACAUUCCUGGGAUGCAGGAUGCAGAGCUCUCAAGCUCCAUGCAUGACAAACUAGCAUUUUAAUAAUGGGGAAGGAGGAAGGGGAGCAGUGCAGAGCCAUGUCCGCAGCAUGUGUUUUCCUCCCAGGCUUUUGGAGUCCUGUCACCCCAUACACUCUGACCCCUAAAACACUCAACAUCAUCCAUCUAGGUGUAUAAAAACUGCCUGCAGUGUUAGAUGGGAUACCAAAUCCUCUCGAUGCUGUUAAUCCAUGUUUUUCCACAAGGGCCCCAGGUGCUCCCUGCUGGUGAUUUUUUUGGCCUGUGCAGCAGGAACAGGCAGCAGCUGUGUAAGGUGGGGAGGGAGCUCCCCUGUGCUCCCCAAACCCUGCCUGCCUUGGGUUCUCAUGCUGUUGGAGGCAGCUCCUCUUCCCUGCAGCACCUGCAAGGCUGGGCUGAGGAGAAGGCACUCCAGUCUCAUUCCCACCCCACGAGAUGGUUUGGGAUCUACCACUGGUGUUGACAUCCUGACUGAAUCUCAGACUCCUGGGCUUCACUGCAGCUGGACAACCCUCACCCCAUACAGAGAGGCAGGUCAGCACCUGGCAGGACCAGUUUUAUUGCUGCAUCCCUCCUGUGGAGAAAGAGGGCUUGCCCACUCUCAUGAACUUCAAAACAUCAUUCUGUAUUUCAUUUAAGAACAAGCCUUGAGAGCCUGGGAAGGAAAGAGAACUAACAGAAGUAGUCAACCCCCUGUGUUUGCUAUGAGAAACCACAGAAGGUGGUAUGGUUUUGUAAGGAGGCAAUGGGAGCAAUGUUUUAUUUAUGGAUAAGUGCAUGUCUGUCUGUCUUGUGCCUUCAGAUUUAUCUUUAUACUGACUGUUGUUUCUUGUUUCCACAAUUUAUACAGUAGCCUUCAGUAAUUGUCCUGGGAUUUGACAAAUCACUCUUGGAAGAAUGAAUUGCUAGUACUGUUAAACAAACGUGAAAAGAAUUAUUCUCUUUCCAACAUUUCUUGAAAUUAAAUUUUAGCCCUGGUGUGCUCAACUAC